GACGAACGCUGGCGGCGUGCCUAAUACAUGCAAGUCGAACGCAAAACUUUCACCGAAUGCUUGCAUUCACGAAAGUUUUGAGUGGCGAACGGGUGAGUAACACGUGGGUAACCUGCCCAGAAGAGGGGGAUAACACUUGGAAACAGGUGCUAAUACCGCAUAAUAACAAAAACCGCAUGGUUUUUGUUUGAAAGAUGGGUUUGCUAUCACUUCUGGAUGGACCCGGGGCGUAUUAGCCAGUUGGUAAGGUAAAGGCUUACCAAGGCAAUGAUGCGUAGCCGAACUGAGAGGUUGAUCGGCCACAUUGGGACUGAGAAACGGCCCAAACUCCUACGGGAGGCAGCAGUAGGGAAUCUUCCACAAUGGACGAAAGUCUGAUGGAGCAACGCCGCGUGAGUGAAGAAGGUUUUCGGAUCGUAAAACUCUGUUGUUAGAGAAGAACGUGUGUGAGAGUAACUGCUCAUGCAGUGACGGUAUCUAACCAGAAAGCCACGGCUAACUACGUGCCAGCCGCCGCCGUAA
rnacentral:rRNA from 1 species